UACGUAGGGGGCAAGCGUUGUCCGGAUUUAUUGGGUUUAAAGGGUGCGUAGGCGGCUUAUUAAGUCAGUGGUGAAAUACUCUAGCUCAACUAGAGGGGUGCCAUUGAUACUGAUGAGCUUGAGUACAGAUGAGGUAGGCGGAAUUGACGGUGUAGCGGUGAAAUGCUUAGAUAUCGUCAAGAACACCUAUAGCGAAGGCAGCUUACUAGGCUGUAACUGACGCUGAGGCACGAAAGCGUGGGGAGCAAACAGG
rnacentral:rRNA from 1 species